rnacentral:rRNA from 1 species
GACGAACGCUGGCGGCGUGCUUAACACAUGCAAGUCGAACGGAAAGGCCCCUUCGGGGGUGCUCGAGUGGCGAACGGGUGAGUAACACGUGGGUGAUCUGCCCUGCACUUUGGGAUAAGCCUGGGAAACUGGGUCUAAUACCGGAUAGGACUACGGCCUGCAUGGGUUGUGGUGGAAAGCUUUUGCGGUGUGGGAUGGGCCCGCGGCCUAUCAGCUUGUUGGUGGGGUGAUGGCCUACCAAGGCGACGACGGGUAGCCGGCCUGAGAGGGUGUCCGGCCACACUGGGACUGAGAUACGGCCCAGACUCCUACGGGAGGCAGCAGUGGGGAAUAUUGCACAAUGGGCGCAAGCCUGAUGCAGCGACGCCGCGUGAGGGAUGACGGCCUUCGGGUUGUAAACCUCUUUCAGCAUCGACGAAGCGCAAGUGACGGUAGAUGCAGAAGAAGCACCGGCCAACUACGUGCCAGCAGCCGCGGUAAUACGUAGGGUGCGAGCGUUGUCCGGAAUUACUGGGCGUAAAGAGCUCGUAGGUGGUUUGUCGCGUUGUUCGUGAAAACUCACAGCUUAACUGUGGGCGUGCGGGCGAUACGGGCAGACUGGAGUACUGCAGGGGAGACUGGAAUUCCUGGUGUAGCGGUGGAAUGCGCAGAUAUCAGGAGGAACACCGGUGGCGAAAGGCGGGUCUCUGGGCAGUAACUGACGCUGAGGAGCGAAAGCGUGGGGAGCGAACAGGAUUAGAUACCCUGGUAGUCCACGCCGUAAACGGUGGGUACUAGGUGUGGGUUUCCUUCCUUGGGAUCCGUGCCGUAGCUAACGCAUUAAGUACCCCGCCUGGGGAGUACGGCCGCAAGGCUAAAACUCAAAGGAAUUGACGGGGGCCCGCACAAGCGGCGGAGCAUGUGGAUUAAUUCGAUGCAACGCGAAGAACCUUACCUGGGUUUGACAUGCACAGGACGCACCUAGAGAUAGGUGUUCCCUUGUGGCCUGUGUGCAGGUGGUGCAUGGCUGUCGUCAGCUCGUGUCGUGAGAUGUUGGGUUAAGUCCCGCAACGAGCGCAACCCUUGUCUCAUGUUGCCAGCGCGUUAUGGCGGGGACUCGUGAGAGACUGCCGGGGUCAACUCGGAGGAAGGUGGGGAUGACGUCAAGUCAUCAUGCCCCUUAUGUCCAGGGCUUCACACAUGCUACAAUGGCCGGUACAAAGGGCUGCGAUGCCGUGAGGUGGAGCGAAUCCUUUCAAAGCCGGUCUCAGUUCGGAUCGGGGUCUGCAACUCGACCCCGUGAAGUCGGAGUCGCUAGUAAUCGCAGAUCAGCAACGCUGCGGUGAAUACGUUCCCGGGCCUUGUACACACCGCCCG